rnacentral:miRNA from 1 species
UGAUAGAGACGGGGCGGACCAGGUG